rnacentral:lncRNA from 1 species
UCAACAUAGCGUUGAGACUCACAAACCGAAGGCAACCUUUGAUUAUUUUGAGGUGACAAGCUUAAAGAUCCCGGAAGGGUUGGAUGUCAAACUUAGAAUUUGCAUUUACCACAAACAUUGCUAAAGGUGACAAGCUUCAAGAUCCCGGAGGAUUGGAUGUGAAACUUUGUGAAGUAUUUAUGGUUUUGUAGGUGACAAGCUUAGAGAUCCCGGAAGGGUUGGAUGUCAAACUUAGAAUUUGCAUUUACCACAAACAUUGCUAAAGGUAUAUAUUAAAUGUUUUUAAAGUUACAAAAAUCAUAUGGAAACUUUAGUUAGAAUUUAGUUAUAUUGACCUUAUGAGUCAACUUAUACAUAUGGAUGUAGGAUGCCAUUAUUUAAUUUGUUCCUCUUUUUGGCUUCUAGUAAUGAAACUAAAAGAACGCAAGAAGUAUGAAUAGACUCU